UUUCUGAAUCUAAAAUCACGUUUAAUAGUGCUCAAUAGGGAAUGAUCUAAUUGUAUCAGACAUCAAGAAAUCAUAUUGAUCAAGUUUUAAUUGAAUAUACUCCUUUAAAUUAUGUACUACAUAAUAUUCGAGCCCGAAAAGACUUCGUGGUCUUGCUUCUUUCUGGUGGACCUAAUUCUUUUUGAUUGCAGCGUGUCCAUUAGGGUUGAAUGAUUUUUUUAAACUAAGAACUCUUGCGGAAUUGGGUGGUAUAUAAAUGGGAUAGAUAUCACUGACUCAUUCAGUUUCUUACAAAAUCUUAAGCCGAC
rnacentral:lncRNA from 1 species